GGGUGCGCGAGCAGAGGCAGCUCGGACAACGGCGGCGGCAUGCAGAAGCAGCAGCAGGCGAGCAACGGCGGGGGUGUUGCCGCCAGGUUUUCUGGCGCCGGUGGCAAUGGCGUUGCUGCGACGAACAAGGUAAUCGAUCGAUCGAUCAAGUAGCAUGCAUGCAUGCACGCCACCCCAUCAGCGUUUUCCUUCAUAUGUUGAAACAUUGCUCAACAAAAAUUAAGAUUGGCUUUGUUCGCUACGAGCAGUCAAGCCAAUGCAAGAACUUUAGGGAUAGCAGUGUAAGCUAUGCAUCUGCAGCAGCAAAGGUUGAUUCAUCAGGGGAAGAAGAGAAACAAGAUUGAGCAAGCUACGGCUUGUUUGAUAUAGCCGCCAAACCUUGGUGCAACAUGCGUGAUUGGUUUCCCAUAAAAAAACAUGUGAUUGGUUCGCACCGGGACCUGUCUAUCAAACUUUAUAGCAUUGGCUCGAUGCCAGUUUGUGAUAAACAGGCCCUGGUUGAAUGCCGAUUAUGUCGCCAGAAACACUGGGAAACCAGACAAUCAAUAAAACUGUUAUCUGGGGAUGUGUUCUGUCA